CAAGUCGGACGGGAUUACUUUUGGUAGCAAUACCGAGAGUGAUCCAGUGGCGAACGGGUGCGUAACACGUGGGCAAUCUGCCGAGAAGUGGGGGAUAGCUCGCCGAAAGGCGAAUUAAUACCGCAUGUGAUCAGAGGCGACAUCGCUUCGAAAUCAAAGGUGGCGCAAGCUACCGCUUUUUGAGGAGCCCGCGGCCUAUCAGCUUGUUGGUGAGGUAACGGCUCACCAAGGCGUUGACGGGUAGCUGGUCUGAGAGGACGACCAGUCACACUGGGACUGAGACACGGCCCAGACACCUACGGGUGGCAGCAGUCGAGAAUUUUUCUCAAUGGGGGAAACCCUGAAGGAGCGACGCCGCGUGGAGGAUGAAGGUCUUCGGGUUGUAAACUCCUGUCAUUUGGGAACAAGGCGUACGUAUUAACUGUACGUGCGUUGAUAGUACCAGAAGAGGAAGAGACGGCUAACUCUGUGCCAGCAGCCGCGGUGAUACAGAGGUCUCAAGCGUUGUUCGGAUUCAUUGGGCGUAAAGGGUGCGUAGGUGGCGUGGUAAGUCGGGUGUGAAAUUUCGGAGCUUAACUCCGAAACUGCAUUCGAUACUGCCGUGCUUGAGGACUGGAGAGGAGACUGGAAUUUACGGUGUAGCAGUGAAAUGCGUAGAGAUCGUAAGGAAGACCAGUGGCGAAGGCGGGUCUCUGGACAGUUCCUGACACUGAGGCACGAAGGCCAGGGGAGCAAACGGGAUUAGAUACCCCCGGUAGUCCUGGCAGUAAACGGUGCACGUUUGGUGUGGGAGGAUUCGACCCCUUCUGCGCCGGA
rnacentral:rRNA from 1 species